rnacentral:lncRNA from 1 species
UUCUUCCAUGGUCGGGCUUUGAGUCUUACUCAACUUUACACCUUGUAAUACAGACAAGAACUCCUUCUGUGAUUGAUCCAUUUUGAACUCUUUCAAAAACUUGUCAAGGUAUUUACUCAUUGAAAAAUCUUACCAAGAGCUUGAUCUAUCUCUAUAGAUCUUAAUGCCCAAUAUGUAAGCAGCUUCACCGAGGUCUUUCAUUAAAAAAAACUCUUAUUCAAGUAUCCCUUUAUGCUAUCCAGAGAUUCUAUAUCAUUUCCAAUCAAAAACAUGUCAUCCACAUAUAAUAUUAGAAAUGUUACAGAGCUCCCACUCACUUUCUUGUAAAUACAGGAUUCUCCAAAAGUCUGUAUAAAACCAUAUGCUUUGAUCACACUAUCAAAGUGUUUAUUCCAACUCCGAGAGGCUUGCACCAGUCCAUAAAUGGAUCGCUGGAGCUUGCACAUUUAGUUAGCCCCCUUUGGAUCAACAAAACCUUCUGGUUGCAUCAUAUACAACUCUUCUUUAAGAAAUACAUUCAGGAAUACAGUUUUGACAUCCAUCUGCCAAAUUUCAUAAUCAUAAAAUGCGGCAAUUGCUAACAUGAUUCAGACAGACUUAAUCACGCUACGGGUGAGAAGGUCUCAUCAUAGUCAACUCCUUGAACUUGUUGAAAACCUUUUGCGACAAGUCGAGCUUUGUAGAUAGUAACACUACUAUCAGCGUCCGUCUUCCUCUUGAAGAUCCAUUUAUAUUCUACGGCUUGCCGAUCAUCAGGCAAGUCCACCAAAGUCCACACUUCGUUUUCAUACAUGGAUCCCAUCUCAGAUUUCAUGGCCCCAAGCCAUUUCGCGGAAUCUGGGACCAUCAUCGCUUCCUCAUAGUUCAUAGGCUCAUCAUGGUCUAGUGACAUGACUUCCAGAAUAGGAUUACCGUACCAUUCUGGUGUGGACCUUACUCUGGAAGACCUACGAUGUUCUGUAGUAACUUGAUCUGAAGUUUCAUGAUCAUCAUCAUUAGCUUCCUCACUAAUUGGUGUAGGAAUCACUAGAACUGAUUUCUGUGAUGAACUACUUUCCAAUUCGGGAGAAGGUACAAUUACUCAUCAAGUUCUACUUUCCUACCACUCACUUCUUUCGAGAGAAACUCCUUCUCUAGAAAGGAUCCAUUUUUUAGCAACAAUCUUGCCUUCGGAUCUGUGAUAGAAGGUGUACCCAACAGUUUCCUUUGGGUAUCCUAUGAAGAUGCAUUUCUCCGAUUUGGGUUCGAGCUUAUCAGGUUGAAGCUUUUUUCACAUAAGCAUCUCAGCCCCAAACUUUAAGAAACGACAACUUUGGUUUCUUGCCAAACCACAGUUCAUAAGGCGUCGUCUCAAUGGAUUUUGAUGGUGCCCUAUUUAAAGUGAAUGCAGCUGUUUGUAAUGCACAACCCCAAAACAAUAGUGGUAACCCGGUAAGAGACAUCAUAGAUCAUACCAUAUCCAAUAAAGUGCGGUUACGACGUUCAGACACACCAUUACGUUGUGGUGUUCUAUGUGGCGUGAGUUGUGAAACUAUUCCACAUUUUUAAAUGAAGGCCAAACUCAUAACUCAAAUAUUUUCCUCUACGAUCAGAUCAUAGAAACUUUAUUUUCUUGUUACGAUGAUUCUCCACUUCACUCUGAAAUUCUUUGAACUUUUCAAAUGUUUCAGACUUGUGUUCAUAAUCAAGUGAUUCCAAAAGUCCAUCUUUAUGGAGUUUCUUCAUGCGCUUUACACCGAUAUGACCCAAAUGGCAGUGCCACAAAUAUGCUGCACUAUCAUUAUCAACUUUGCAUCUUUUGGCAUCAAUAUUAUGAAUAUGUGUAUCACUACGAUCAAGAUUCAGUAAACCAUAAACAUUGGGUGUAUGACCAUAGAAGGUUUUAUUCAUGUAAAUAGAAUUACAAUUUAUUCUCUAUCUUAGAUGAAUAAUCGUAUCGCAAUAAACAUGAUCUAAUCAUAUUGCUCAAUGCAAACACCAAAUAACAUUUAUUUAGGUUCAACACUAAUCUCGAAAGUAUAGGGAGUGUGCGAUGAUGAUCAUAUCAAUCUUGGAACCACUUCCAACACACAUCGUCACUUCUCCCUCAACUAGUCUUGUUUAUUCUGUAACUCCUGUUUCAAGUUACUAAUCUUAGCAACCGAACAAGUAUCAAAUACCCAGGGGCUACUAUAAACACUAGUAAGGUACACAUCAAUAACUUGUAUAUCAAAUAUACCCUUGUUCACUUUGCCAUCCUUCUUAUCCACCAAAUAUUCAGGGCAUUUCCGUUUGGUGACCAUUUCCUUUGCAGUAGAAGCACUCAGUUUCAAGCUUUGGUCCAGCUUUGGGCUUCUUCACGGGAGUGACAACUUGCUUGCCAUUAUACUUGAAGUUCCCUUUCUUCCCCUUUGCCCUUUUCUUGAAACUAGUGAUCUUGUCAAUCAUCAACACUUGAUGCUUUUUCUUGAUUUCUACCUUCGUCGAUUUCAGCAUCACGAAGAGCUCGGGAAUCAUUUUCGUCAUCCCUUGCAUACUAUAGUUCAUCACAAAGUUCCAGUAACUUGGUGACGGUGACUAGAGAACUCUGGAAGAUUAACUCCCUUGAUUCAAGCGAUUGUAGUACCCAGACAAUCUGAGCAAAUGCUCACUGCCUGAGCUAUUCUCCUCCAUCUUUUAGCUAUAGAACUUGUUGGAGAUUUCAUAUCUCUCAACUCGGGUAUUUGUCUGAAAUAUUAACUUCAACUCCUCGAACAUUUCAUAUGGUCCAUGACAUUUUAAAACGCUUUGAAGUCUUGAUUCUAAGCCGUAAAGCAUGGUGCACUAAACUAUCAAGUAGUCAUCAUAUUAAGCUAGCCAAACAUUCACAACGUCUGCAUCUGCUCCUGCAAUAGUUUUGUCACCUAGCAGUGCAUCAAGGACACAAUUCUUCUGUGAAGCAAUGAGGAUAAACCUCAGAUCACGGACUCAGUCCGCAUCAUUGCUACUAUCAUCUUUCAACUUAGUUUUUCUCUAGGAACAUAUAAAAACAUAGGGAAGUUACAACGCGAGCUAUUGAUCUACAACAUAAUUUGCAAAAUACUAUCAGGACUAAGUUCGUGAUAAACUAAAUUUCAAUUAAUCAUAUUACUUAAGAACUCCCACUUAGAUAGACAUCCCUCUAGUCAUCUAAAUGAUCACGUGAUCCAAAUCAACUAAACCAUGUCCAAUCAUCACGUGAGAUAGAGUAGUUUUCAAUGGUAAACAUCACUAUGUUGAUCAUAUCUACUAUAUGAUUCACGCUCGACCUUUCGGUCUCUAGUGUUCCGAGGCCAUAUCUGCAUAUGCUAGGCUCGUCAAGUUUAACCCAAGUAUUCUGCAUGUGCAAAACUGGCUUGCACCCAUUGUAUGUGAACGUAGAUCCUAUCACACCCGAUCAUCAUGUGGUGUCUCAGCAUAAAUAACUGUAGCAAUAGUGCGUACUCAGGGAGAACACUCAUACCUUGAAAUUUAGUAAGGGAUCAUCUUAUAAUGCUACCGCCAUACUAAGCAAAAUAAGAUGCAUAAAAGAUAAACAUCACAUGCAAUCAAAAUAUUUGACAUGGUAUGGCCAUCAUCAUCUUGUGCUCAUGAUCUCUAUCAUCGAAGCAUCGUCAUGAUCUCCAUCGUGACCGGCGUGACACCUUGAUCUCCAUCGUAGCAUCGUUGUCGUCUCGCCAACUGUUGUUACUACGACUAUCGCUACCGCUUAGUGAUAAAGUAAAACAAUUACAUGGCGAUUGCAUUGCAUACAAUAAAUCGACAACCAUAUGGUUCCUGCCAGUUGCCGAUAACUUUGUUACAAAACAUGAUCAUCUCAUACAACAAUUUAUAUGACAUCAUGUCUUGACCAUAUCACAUCACAGCAAGCCCUGCAAAAACAAGUUAGACGUCCUCUACUUUGUUCUUGCAAGUUUUACGUGGCUGAUACAGGCUUCUAACAAGAAUCGUUCUUACCUACACGUCAAACCCACAACGAUUUUUUGUCAAGUGUGCUGUUUUAACCUUCAACAAGGACCGGGCGUAGUCGCACUCGAUUCAACUAAAGUUGAGAAACAGACACUCACUAGCCACCUGUGUGAGAAGCACGUCGGUAGAACUAGUCUCGCCUAAGCGUACACGUAAUGUCGGUCUGAGCCGCUUCAUCCAACAAUACCGACGAAUCAAAGUAUGACAUGCUGAUAAGCAGUAUGACUAUUAUUGCCCACAACUCUUUGUGUUCUACUCGUGCAUAUAACAUCUACGCAUAGACCUGGCUUGGAUGCCACUGUUGGGGAACGCAGUAAUUUCAAAAAAAUUCCUACGAUCACGCAAGAUGUAUCUAGGUGAUGCAUAGCAACGAUAGGGGAGAGUGUUGUCUAUGUACCCUCGUAGACCGAAAGCGGGAGUGUUAUGACAACACGGUUGAUGUAGUCGUACGUCUUCACGAUCCGACUGAUCCUAGCACUGAAAGUACGGCAUCUCCGCGAUCUGCACACGUUCAGCUCGGUGACGUCCCAUGAACUCUAGAUCCAGCUGAGGUCGAGGCAGAGUUUCGUCAGCACGACGGCGUGGUGACGGUGAUGAUGGAGUUACCGGCGCAGGGCUUCGCCUAAGCACUACGACGAUAUGACCGAGGUGGAAAUCUGUGGAGGGGGGCACCGCACACGGCUAAAAGAUCAACUUGAUCAACUUGUGUGUCUAUGGGGUACCACCUCCACCGUAUAUAAAGGAGGAGAGGGGAGGCCGGCCAGCCCUCCUUGGUGCGCCCCCAAAGGGGGAAUCCUACUAGGACUCCAAGUCCUAGUUGGUUUCCACCAAGAAGAAGAGAGGGGGAAGGAAUGAGAGGGAGAGAGGGAGAAGGAAAGGGGGAGCGCUGCACCCCUUCCCUUGUCCUAUUUGGACUCAAGGGGGGGGGGUGCGGCCAGCCCUCCCGCGGUCCUCCCCUCUCUCCACUAAGGCCCAUCGAGGCCCACUAGUUUCCUAGGGUGGUUCCGGUAACCCUUCGACACUCCGGUUUUAUUCGAAACUUCUCCAGAACACUUCCGGAGUCCGAAUAUGGUCAUCCAAUAUAUCAAUCUUUAUGUCUCGACCAUUUCAAGACUCCUCGUCAUGUCCGUGAUCACAUCCGGGACACCGAACAACCUUUGGUACAUCAAAUCACAUAAACUCAUAAUACCAAUCGUCAUCGAACGUUAAGCGUGCGGACCCUACGGGUUCGAGAACUAUGUAGACAUGAUCGAGACACGUCUCCGGUCAAUAAACAAUAGCGGAACCUGGAUGCUCACAUUGGUUCCUACAUAUUCUACGAAGAUCUUUAUCGGUCAAACCGCAUAACAACAGAUGUUGUUCCCUUUGUCAUCGGUAUGUUACUUGCCCGAGAUUCGAUCCUCGGUAUCAUCAUACCUAGUUCAAUCUCGUUACCGGCAAGUCUCUUUACUCAUUUUGGAAUACUUCAUCCCGCAACUAACUCAUUAGUUACAAUGCUUGCAAGGCUUAUAGUGAUGAGCAUUAUCGAGAGGGCCCAGAGAUACAUCUCCAAAACACGGAGUGACAAAUCCUAAUCUUGAUCUAUGCCAACCCAACAAACACCUUCGGAGACACCUGUAGAGCACCUUUAUAAUCAUCCUUUUACGUUGUGACGUUUGGUAGCACACAAAGUUUUCCUCCAGUAUUCGGGAGUUGCAUAAUCUCAUAGUCUGAGGAACAUGUAUAAGUCAUGAAGAAAGCAAUAGCAAUAAAACUGUAAUGAUCAUGAUGCUAAGCUAACGGAUGGGUCUUGUCCAUCACAUCAUUCUCCUAAUGAUGUGAUCCCGUCCAUCAAAUGACAGCACAUGUCUAUGGUUAGGAAACAUAACCAUCUUUGAUUAACGAGCUAGUCAAGUAGAGGCAUACUAGGGACACUAUUUUUUGUCUUUGUAUUCACACAUGUACUAAGUUUCCGGUUAAUACAAUUCUAGCAUGAAUAAUAAACAUUUAUCAUGAAAUAAGAAAAUAAAUAAUAACUUUAUUAUUGCCUCUAGGGCAUAUUUCCUUCAACUAGGACCUCCAUUUGUAGUGUUGGUCUCUGAAUAAGAAAAUGUAGCCUAGCCAGCUAGCCUGCGGACGAGACUGUAGUUUCAGAGAUCUUGUUUUUUACAUUAGAGAUGUUUUCAUCAUCCAAGCUCACUAUAUUUUUUUGCAUCUAGCUGCAAGAGUAUAAUAUUUUCCUUACAACUAGAGACAUACCUGCGCGUUGCAGCGGGAAUUGGAUGAGGUGAUUUCUGUGAGAUUUGGCGUAUGGAGCUUUAGUUUUCUGGUUAGCCAUAUGAGAAUUAAAACUCAAGCACAUAUAGUUUAACAUAUUUGAUUAUUAUGUAGUUGUUGAAAAAAUGACAAGUGCUCUGGCUUUGCAUUAAGAAGGGGGAAAACUAUACAAGGUGGCCAUGGCCAGAACAGCCUAGGAGGAAGGGAACUCGGUUACAUUUUGCACUAGGGCUGAACAGGCCAAAAGGAAGAAAAACGUGACUACUCCCAUGCCUCCUUGAGGAGGCCGAUAUCGUCUCUCAUGAUAGUAUUGACAUUUGUCACUGGGGCGGUUUUUUGUUGGAAAACUCUCUUGCUUCGCUCAUCCCAAAUGGUCCAAGAGAUAUAGGCCGCGGCUGUGGAUCCUUUGGUUCCGUCUGAAUUGGUUGUUGAAAGAGAAAACUUGUAAGCCAUUGACACCCGACUCCCAAGCCAGGAGCGGCACUAGGACGACCGCGCCCCAAGCCUAAAUUGCAAGGUGAGCUCAUCCCCUUCUCAUCUUCCCUAUGGUUCGGUAUGCUGGCUCAUGUUCUCUGUCUUAUACAUGUGUGCAGUUUAUUUUCAGAAUUGUAGUUGUUGUGUGCAUAUUCCUACCCCGGCGCAUGUUGUUUGUUGUGCAGUCAUAUUACAAAUUCCCUAUUGAGUAUAUGUGUGUAAUUUUAUUUAAUCAGUUAAUGCAUAUUGCUAUGUGGGUACUGCCAUGAGUGCUAUUGUGUGAAUAAAUUUCAGAAUAGUGAAAUUUAUUUAUUUUGGCUAUGCAGAAAAUGUACUGUUAUAUGUGUGUAGUUUAUUGUUAAAAGCCUAGUGGUAUAUGUGUGCAAAUGUACUGUUAUAUUGUUCAGAUAUUACAUAAGUUCUAAGUGACAUGCAUUUUUUAGAGAAGUGUCAAGUAUUGCUGCCGAAUGGCGCGUUGAAAACACUCAGAUAAUCUCCGAGUUGUUUGUUGGGCAAGUGACCACCGGAAACAAGCCAUGCAAUUAUUUGAAUUAUUUGAAAAAAAAUUAUGAAUUUGGAAAGGUUCAUCCAUUUUAAAGAAGUUCAUCAUUUUUGAAGAAAAGUUCACAAACUUGAAAAAAUUUCAUUGAUUUUUAAGAAGUUCACAAAUUUGAAAAAAAGAUCAUUGAAUUUGAAGAAAAGUUUGUCGAAUUUGAAAAUAAAUCCACCAAACUUGAAAAAAAGUUCACCGAAUUAGUAUAAUGUUCAUCGAAUUUGAAAAAGUUCAUCAAAUUUGAAAAAAGUUCAUCAAAAUUGAGAAAAAAUAUUCAUUGAUUUGAAGAAAAAGUUUAUGAACUGAAAAAAAUUCAUCGAAUCAAGAAAAAAAGGGAAAAGUGAAAAAGCAAAAAGGAAAAAAGGAAAAAGAAAAGGAAAAAAGAAUAGAAGAAGGAGUAAAAGCAAGAAAAAGAUUCAACUAACAACUUUGGGAUUGGUGGGGUUGUGGUUAUUAUAGCUUGUGAUGAUACAGGAGGUUGAGGGUUCGAUACACUUGAGGAGUUCCUUUUUGUGGAUUAAAAAAAGCUACAUGGGCUGGUCCAGCGCGGGGGCGUUUCAGGCUCCCGUUUGUAAAAUACAUAGUAACGGGCACCUAAAGCGCCAAAUAGGAACCCCGACCACAAAUAGCAGAAAAUAUAUGUAUCAUCUAAAAUUUUUUAAGCCCAUCCAUUCACCCAAGCACGAUGGCCCAAAUUGUUUUUCGGCUUGUGUGCAGUUCGCCCCAGAGAUGGACUCCUUCUAACCGGUCCAAGAUGGCAACCAACGCAAGGCUUUGCCACAUCGGGUCUUUUAACUGAAAUGCAUUAAUCCAUGAUACUAGUACCUGCUCUACAAUCUCAGUGGUCAAUGAUGCAUGUCAGCAUGAUGUUAUUAAGCUAUGCAACACUUUUGUGCGGAACCUUAUUAUCUGCUGCUAUUCUAAUCAUUACAUUUCGAAAUAAUUUCCAUUUCUUUUCUAAAAAGAAAAAAAAAGUUUUAAAUAAAACAUUUUUCUUUAGUGAUAUUAAAUAUUUUUAUGCAGUUCGCCCCAAAGAUGGGCUCCUUCUAGCUGGUCCAAGAUGGCAACCAACAUGCCUUGAACGCUCCAGCUAGGCUGCCAACUCAACCAGGAGCUGGGAGAAGCUGGCGACGCUCCCAGACGUUUCACGUUCGCCACUUGAAGCAAGAAGCGUGGUAAGAAGCUCGAUAUGGAAAGUUUUGGAGAAGCUACAUGGUUUCAAAAUAGGCCCUUAGGCCACCAUUGAAGAAUUGUGAUGUCACCGAGAGCAGCAUCCACAACUCCAGGAUAGGAGGCUCUGAAGGAAUACCAGACCUGUUUGCUAUACGAGCAAGAGAGGAUUGAUUAAGUGGCUCGGACACUCCUCGUCAUAAAGGCAACGUUUGUCAAUACUCGGCCAGUUUCAAGCCAGCAGCCCGUGUCAUGUUUUGCAGUAGAAUCCAGAUGAAGAAUUGGAUUUUGGGCUUAACCUUGAUCUUCCAAACACUGUCUAAGUGCGGAAAGGGAAGUUUGGUGACAAACUGAAAAUCAUAAGCAGACUUUGCAGUGUAGCAGCCAUUUUUCGGCAUGCCGACACAUAAUACCAUCAAGAGUAUCAGUGAGCCUCCAAAGCUAAUGUACCGGUCCAGAUCAACCUCAGAGUUAAUCUUAUGUAAACCACACAACCAUCUGCUAUCAUGGAGAACAUCAGCAACUGGCAAAUUCUUCCUCAAAGCUACCAGAAAAGGGGUGGGGCAAUAUCCUUAGCAGCGCUCCCCUGUGACCAUCUAUCAUGCCAAAAUAUUGCUCUUUUCCCAUCACCAAUCGUCACAUUAGUGCAAGCAGUGAAGAGUUGUCUGUCAACUGAAUCAAUAGGUGCUUUGGUUCCUUUCCACGGUCUAUCAGUGGUGUCCCACUCGAGCGAGGGCCACCGUAGACGCAACGCACGGCUGUAAGCCAUGAUAUCCUUGAUUCCUAGCCCACCAUUGGACUUUGGCGCACAAAUCCAUUUCCACUUGACCAAACAUUUUCCACCAUACGCCUCAUCCUCAAAAUUUCAAAGGAAUUUUCUCCUAAGUUUGUCAAUCUUCUUGAUGGCCCAUUUAUUCGGCUCAAAGGCAGUCAGGAAGUAAGUAAGAGUGGAAGUAUCAUCCAUCAGUUUGUUUUGCCUGUUAUCUUUGGGCUUUGGAGUAUAAUGUCAGCUUGCUCCUCUUGAAGGCUCUCAUUGCUCGAAAACUAGUACUCUGCAUAUUAGAAUUGACUGAAGUCAAACUUCGUAAUGUUUGACCAAGUUUAUAGAAAAUAAUAUAAAUAUUUAGCAUAACAAAUCUAUACGAUGCGAAAGUACAUCAAUUACGAAUCUAAUGGUAUUGAUUUGUUAUUGUACAUGUUAAUAUUUUUGUCUAUAAACUUUGUCAAAGUUUACAAAGCUUGACUUUGACCAAAGCUAACAUGCGGAGUAAAUAAAAACGAAAGGAGUAACAACCACUGAUGUCAUCUAUACUCUAUAGCACAUGCAUGGGUUCAUUUAUGAGAAAACCUUAUGACUACUUGCAGGAUCAACCAAGUAGCACGAUGCAUCUUCAUUGGUGGUGCUUCCAAGAGCAUGGCAAGGCAGAGGCAAUAGGCAAGGCAGUUGUCACGAUUGUGCGGCCCAGUGUGGAUACAUGAGGUGACAGAAAUAUUCCGAUUGUUCUUAAUUGGGAGGGCUUUGGGUUGGGGCGAGGCAACCAAAAAGGCCACAAGUGUUUAUCGUGAGCAACAUCUAAGGCUAGCAAGGGGAUGGGACCGCCUGGUAGCACCAAGCACAUAACAUGCCUACAACACGAGGCAAUGCUGCAACUACUGUUUGGCCGCAGCAGCACAUCUGGAAGUCGUCAAGCUUCUACAAGCACCAGUAGAGUGAGGUCACCGACUCAAAUCAUCGUACUAGACCCGAGCAAUUGGUCACCACAAAGAAGCGUGAGGUCGCCAAGUCAUGUCAAUGGACGUAUGAACCGUAUGGGUGAAGAAGUCUCAUACGCCAUGGGUGGCUUCCCAAAAAGCUUGGACGGUAGCAGCCCCCGUGCUAUCGAUGAUCACCAAACAACAUGACCAUCAAUGAGUACAAGACAAAUAAAACUCACAAACAACAGACCAAACAUCACCUGUUCACCUAGAAAGAUACACAGAGAUCACCCAAAAAAAUUCUGCACAUGACAUACCCAGCAGAAAGGCAGAUUAGGAAAUGUGUUUUUAAUUACACUGCAGAAGGAGAAGACAUAUUUUUACCAGCCAAACAUUAGUACUGUUGAAUGCAUUCACGGAAGCAUUUUUUUUUCUCAAAAGAAUUAGUAUGCUGUAGAAAAAAGUACAUCGUCAACGUGAAGAAACAAGAGGACGGAAUGAAGAAACACCGCACGAAAUGUCAGACCUUGUGGGCAAGUACAUCGUCACCGUGACACCAGGUAGCAAAACUUUCAACAACGAUUAUUGUCACUUUCAAGUCCAGGUUACAGAACAUGUGGCUAAUCUAGAACUAUGGCUAAUCCAGAUCUAGCUGGGCAGUCCUCCUCCUCUGCCUUGGUUCUGAGUGAUGCAGCACAGGCUGAUCAGCUUGCAGCACCACCACCAGCAGAUUUUGGUUUGCGAAAGAACGGAAAGCUUCAACCAAGAGAACAUGAGGUAUAGAUAAUUAGAGUGUAGUAUUUUAUAGUGCAGUUAAUAGAGAAUGCAAAACUGAUCUUGCUUUCUUCGUUAAAUGUUAACAGGCUCCCUGUACAGAAAAAUUCCCACAAGGAGAAAAAAGAAAGAAAUCACUGAUGGUUCACCAACUAGCAAUAAAGUUAAAAAAAGGUCAAUAAAACCUCCUAUUGAAAGAUUAUAGGAUUAAAAACUACACAUACUAAUCUUGGGCCACUUCUUUCCAUGACACAGUUGCACUCCAAAGCAGCUAUUUCCUGUGGAGGAUCAUGAGAAUCUUGACAGUAAAGCAAGACGCACCUGAGACUGGAUCUUCUGAAUAUGCAAACACAUCAUCAGUGGCUUCUCCAUGGAAAGCAAGACCAAGCUGAGUCCCAGUCCGCCUGCUAAAAACAGGUCAUUAUUAGUUUCAUGGAGUUUCUAGGUUUGCGUCCUUUUGAGGUUUGAGCUACCGUUUCAUUAACUGUGAUAAUAACAACUCAGUGUAUGCACAUGUAUGCUAUGUUCCUCUAGGCUAGCAGUCUGCACCCUUUGUUUGUUUCUGAACUGUUGUUCUUCUGUCGGUAAUAAUAGUAUCAUAUGCCCAACAAACAUAAAUUCCGUACUCCAUUUUGACCAGAAGAAAAGAAGAAAUUUGAUCCAAUAAACACUCUCGUCUAAUUCUUCUAUCCAAAGAAAAUAGCAUCCGUUCCAAUAAAGGUGAACUUUUUGCUCCAUUUCAACCAAAUAGACAACAGAAGCACUAGCACGGGGGCGGUGCUAAUUUCAGGACGGUUCGUCGCGGGCCAUGCUUCACCAUGGUUUUGGGUACCGGGCGGAAAAUUCGGAUACCGCCCGGUACCCGCGUUUCUCGCUACCCCACGAGAAAGCUGCAUAUCGAGCAAAAAAAAUCGGAUUUUUUGAAAUUUUUGAAUUUGAACGGCUACAGCGAGGUCAAGUGCGACAGAAACUCCUCUAAACUAACAAGUUGUUUAUGGUCUGGUGGUAAGUAUGAAGCUCCUUUCCUUGAACACAGCGGUAGGUCGCUAGUUCGAUACCGGGUACGCCCAUCUUUUCUAUUUUUUGCUAAAAGCAACUCAUAAAUAAAAAUUUAAACACACAGUAGGAGAAUCGAACCCACGACCUCUCACACACGUUGAAAACAGACAAGGAGAACCUGCCACUACACCAACAGCGAGUUUGUGAACUUGUCGAGCUCCAAACUAAUAUAUUCCUAGCUCAGAAAUUUUUGAAUUCAAAUUAUGUUUGAAAAAUUCGAGCGGUUUUUCUUCGGAAUUUUGCGGUAUCCGCGUUUCUCGCCCACCCUCGGAAUUUUGUUGGGAAUCGGUAGCCAAAUCGUUGUGCUUCACUAGCCGAUGAUUAGCCGUAUAUGAACUUCAGCUGCGUGUUGUCUGCGUGGGCAGCAGCAAAAAGUGCAAGCAAAAAGUGCAAGCCUCAGCACGCAAUCCACACCAUGAGCGUGUUCUUGACUGCAAACUGGAUUUCCCUGAGCCUGGCUCCCGUGGCGACCAUGGGAUUGUUGUCUCCGUCCAACGAUACUGCAACUUGUGUACUCGGCACAGUCACUUUAUGUCGCAAAAAUCACCCUGAUACGCUGCUAUACGGCGUGGACAAAUGUUUUGGCCAUUUCAAUACAAAAAGUAACAUGGUCUCUGGCACGAAUCUUGGCGACAUCCUGUUCGUUGAUAGCAAGGACCAGCUGUCACAGUGUCCGUGUGUGUGCAGCGUGUCAUUUCUCCUCAUGUUAUCAAUGAACACGAAACAACAUGACCAUUUCUCCUUCGCGUGUUGUCUGCUUGGGCUACUUUUUUUUUUCCCUUUUGCCUCCAUUUUGAAAAAAAACUCAGAAACAACAGACCAAACAUCACCUAGAAAUACACAUAGAGAUCACCCAGAGAUUUCUGCACGUGACAUACACCCAGCAGAAAUGGUAGAGCAGGAAAUGAUUUUUUAACCACACUUCACCAAGGAAAAGAUCUAUUUUUACCAUACGAAUUGCGCACUUCCCAUACGAAUCAGCUUGAUCGUUCUACAGUUUCACACGGUGGCACCUGGCAAAUUUUUCGGCAGUACCCUAAUCCUUGGUCCUGGGAUCAGAUGGCAUGUUGACAAAUUGAUGGGGAUUUUGAUCCCUGUGGUCAUUAGUGGUCACAUCGGUGAUUGCCUUAUCGUGUUCAAAGUAUUCCUGAUGCACCUCAUUCCUAGCUAUACAUGUGCGGAAUUGGUCGAGCAGUACAAGGUACUUUGUGCAUCUCAUUCCUAACUUGAUGUCUUGUUGUGUAAGAGGAAGGUUGUGUGACAAUAUAUAGCGUAGAGUCCAAUGUGGUAGGUGAGAUGUAAUAUGGAGUGCAACUUACGAAUAAAGCUAUACACAUGUAAUUUGAGAUUAUUGCUGCGUUACCAGUACCAUUUUGCUCCCAUCAUAAAUAACAGAGGCACCGAUUAAUUUGUUUAGUGAUCUUCGAAAACCCACACUAAAAUAUUUAAUCACCUUUAAAAUAUAAAAUUCAUAAGUACAGUAAUAACAAUUCAACAUAAAUUUGGAACCUAUGUUUCAAGCAACAUAAGACAUAUAUCUCACAACUCUAUGAGGACAGUGAUUGUAAAUUUUGUGCGACAUAAAUAGGAAAAAAUGUGAUAUAUACCAUGUAUUAUGUUUGAUACCGUAUCUAGGUUUUCCAGAGUAUUUUUCCUAUUAAUAAAAAAAAUCAUGUAACAUAAGAAGUAAAUGCCAGUAGGGGAUGGGGACUGAGUUUAUUGAAUUGGAUCUAAAUUUAGAAAUCAACAUGGAAAGAAGCACAAUCAAAGCAAAUGUAAAACAAUUAUAUUACUACCUCCAUCUGUGAAUACAUUCUUUUUGAAAAGGAGGACUUCCCCCGGCCUCUGCAUCCGAAAGAUGCGUGCAACCAUAUUAUUGAAAAACAGUUCAUCCAAAACAAAGUCUGCUAUCUGAAGUAAAGCUCACAGAAGGAGCACAAAAUAAUAAAAGCUAAAAAAAAGCAAAGCCACAACCGGUUGGAUAAAGUGGACAUAAAGGACCUAUCCUAUUAUGCGAUCGCCAUCCAAACCGCUUGAAGAUAACCCGUGCUACCAUCUCCCAUCAGUUGCACCCAGUAGUCAAAUGCUCCCUGGAGACCGUAAGAGUGAGUAGCAAUCAUGUACGGAUCCAUGUUGUAGCUCUAAAGAUAACCUGCAAGAAGUUUAGAAUAUGAAAUCUGUUAAAAAUCAUAUCGUUCUUGUAGUUCCAUAUAGCCCAAAGAAGUGCGCAUAUUCCAAUCCGAAUAUUUGGCGCAAUGCCUGGUUGCACUCCAUUUAGCCACAUCCCAAACAACGCAUCUAUGGUAGAUGGAGGUAUUAUAUUAAAGGCUAUAUGGAUUGAUUGCCAAAGUAACUUUGCGAGAGGGCAAUCAAUGAAUAAAUGUUGAAUUGUUUCGUCAUGAACACAAAAAUAACAUCGUGAACUACCGACCCAUCGUCGCUUUAGUAAGUUAUCUUUGGUAAGAAUGACCUGCUUAUGCACAAACCACAUGAAAAUUUUGAUGCGCAGGGGAACCUUAACUUUUCAAAUGUGUAUCGAUCUUGGGAUUGGGCCUGAAUUAAUGAGGUCUAAGUACAUAUAUUUAACCAAAAACACUUCAUUCCCCGUUAACUUCCAGCGCACGACAUCUGCUUGGGCUGAGAGCUGAACGUCCAUCAACCUACGCACCUAGUGUAGCCAGGAGGUCCAUCGUUCCCCUACUAAAGCCCGUCGGAACUGCAUAUUCAUAGGUACCGUCUGUAAUACUGUAGCCACGUAAUCCUCCUUACGUUGCACAAUAGUAUAUAGGGUAGGGUAUUGAAGGGCUAGCGGUGCCUCGCCUAGCCAAGUAUUCUCCCAAAACCUUGUUGUCGUUCCGUCCCCAACAACGAAUUUCACCCUAUGAAAGAAAGUCUCUUUUUAUUCUCAUGAGCCCCUUCCAGAAUGGUGAAUCAGUAGGUCUUACGGUAACCUGAGCCAGAGUUUUAGAGUGCAGGUAUUUAUUCCGUAGAAUUUGUGCCCACAUGCCUUUCGAUUCCUGAGAUAACCUAUACAGCCAUUUGCUCAACAAGCAUUUAUUUUUAAUCUCGAGGUUCUCAAUCCCGAGACCCCCAUGGUCUUUGGGUCGACAAAUAAUAUCCCAUCUUGCCAAGCGAUAUUUUGUCUUAACCUCCUCUGACAGCCAGAAGAAAUGAGAACGGUAGAAAUCUAAUCUCUUUCUUACCCCUUUAGGUACCUCAAAGAAAGAUAGGAAGAACAUCGGCAUACUGUUCAAUACUGAAUUAAUCAGCACUAGCCGCCCUCCAUAAGACAUAAGCUUACCCUUCCACAAGCUUAGUUUUUUCUCAAAUCGAUAUUCGAUACAUGCAUUUCCACUCUUUAUUAGUUAAUUUCCGAUGGUGAAUUGUAAUACCUAAGUAAUUGAAAGGUAGUGACCCCAGUUCACAACCGAACAAUUGUUUAUAGUUAUCUUGUUCCUCUUUGGCCCUACCAAAGCAAAAUAAUUCACUCUUGUGGAAAUUAAUCUUUAGACCUAAUAGUUGUUCAAAAAGGCAUAAUACUAGUUUCAUAUUUCUCGCUUUUGCAAGUUCAUGCUCCAUGAAUAUGAUCGUGUCGUCACCAUAUUGUAGGAUGAAAACGCCCCCAUCCACCAAAUGUGGGACAAGAACGCCUACCAGGCCUUUCUCCUUGGCCGACCUAUGAGCACCGUCUGUAAAUACAUGACUACAAGAAAAGAUGCAUUUACAUUUUUUUAAAGUUUCACUAUAAAGGUUAUGUGGAAAUGAUAUUAUUAGAUUUAUACCAAAAAAAACAGUUCAUAAUAUAAGUCACACAUUUUUAUUCACUUGCAUAUACAAAUAAACAUAAUUCUCAAAGCUAGAUACCGGAGACCGUAUACCCAAAACACCAUAAAUUUGCAAAUGGAGCGAUCGUUUCUUGCAUAUAUCCCACAAUCCUACUAAUAUUGUGGUUGUGAGAUCUGCACAACAUAAGUAAGAAUAGAAAAAUGUAAAAUCAUGUUUGAGAUUAUAUCUUGGUUUUCCAGGGUACUUAGCUACAUACGGUAUUUUUUAUUAUUUGAUGCAAAUAUGUUGGUGAUGCAACAUAAGGAGUAAAUGCGAGUUUGAGGGGUAAUUGAAAUGAUUUUUCUUCUGCAUUAGAGAGGACUUAAUUAGAUCAUUAGAUUCACAAAAAUAUUCCCAAUUAUAUUAACUUCACUGAUGCUUACGCACAGAAAAUGGUCAGAAAUGCAUAAUAGAGAUCGUUAAUACCUAUAUGCCAUGUAUUUAGAAGCAUAGAAAGUGUUUCAUGCAUAUCUUAAUUACAUAUGUUUUGACUGGGUGGUGGAGGAAAGUAAAUUUUAUUAUUGAAUCAAAUAUUGCAGGAUUUACAGAGGUCCAACUUAAUUCGUAAGCCGUUCAAUGAGAAAUAGGUUAAGAUUGAUUGGUUUCUAUCAGCUCGUACUUUUCUAUAUUAGUAUUUUGGUAAAGGAGCCUUUAUUUACUCAAUAAAUGGUAUCAAGGUGACACAACCACUUAGAGUUCACGACCCACCUCAUACAAGAUGCACACAAUCCAUGAAAGUUACUUCUUACAAAAGUGUGAUGAAAGAGGUUGUCAUAUUGUGAUGAAGGAUCGAACUAAUGACCAAACCUCCAUUCAUGGUGAAUAAACACCUACUUGGUUUCCCCUUCCACUUGGGCAUGUGCCCCGUUAAAACUUCCAUGUGCACUUAUGAAGUAAGGACAAGGUACAAAUGCAGUAUGUACAUGAGUAUACAACUUGUAGGGGAGUAGAAAUUUUGUUUUGCCAAAUAUCACAUUAUUUCUACAUAUCCACAUCGUCAAUCAUAAUGCUACCACCCAAAUAGGAUUGGGGUGCUUCAUAUCAAUGCCUUGCGGCUGGUUACCAACCAUACUUAUAACAGCCCAUCACUAACACUAAUUAGAACCAACGUGAAUUGUCGACCAUGCAAAACGAGCAAUUUUCAUCGAAAUAAGAGAUGUUUGAUUGUUUCAUCUAUGCAACAAAAAUAACAUCAUUUACUCCAUUAAAAUUUUGGUUAGAAACAUUAUUUAUUAUUAGUAAUCACUCUCGGAUACCAAAGUAAAUGUUUAACUUCUAGCAGAAUCUUUACCUUCCAUAGUAUUCUAUUGUUAAUUAGUGCUAUCAAGAUACAUAGAGUUAAUGGUGAAUAGCAUGUUCUUGUGCAAAACCCAUUGGAACUCAUUUGAACUUUGUGCCAAAGUGAAAUUGGCUAGAUAUAAGAGCAUAGCUUCUAGCCUUGGCCCGAUUAGGGUCCAUCUAAAAUAAUCUUUCCUAAAGAGCUAUUUAUGACUUCUGUAAUUGUGACAUUUUCCUUUAAUACAAUAUGAAACAAUCAUGGGUCUUAAUCCCCAAGGGGGAUACUGCUAAGUCAUGUAUCAUCCCACAAUCUUAUUUGUGAACUAUCUUUUAUAGAGAAGGUUCUAAGAUAAAAGAAAACAUGCUUGACCUUCAUCAAAUCGGCCAAGAAGUGCAAAUCCCCGGGUUUCCACUGAACUGAGAGGACGACUUUCAUUUGAUAAGAGGUUCAUCAUGGGUUUACAUACUUAUUGUGUAAGAGGUUCUGACAUACACCACCGUUGACAUACACCAUUGUUCAGUGAGAGGCUUGACCUUACAUUUGAUAAAGCACUAUUAGGAAAAGGGCUAUAGAUAUGAUUGACACUAAUGACGCACCAGGGAUAUAGUGUGCCACUACUAUAUACUAAUGACGCACUAGUUGAUGAUGCGCCAUUAGUGUGAAAGACACUAAUGGCGCACCAGACAAAAGGUGCGCCACUAGUGAUAAAUUAUUAUUUUUUCAUUUUUACAUACAUACUAAUGGCGCAUCCGACCGAAGUGUGCCAUUACUAGUUCUAACUAGUAAUGGCGCACCAGACAAGGAGUGCGCCAGUACUGUAUUUUUUUUAUUCUUUUUUUUGCAAAACUACUAAUGGCGCAUCGUGUCACAGUGCGCCAUUACUAGUUUAAACUAGUAAUGGCGCACUACUACACGGUGCGCCAUUAGUAUAUAUAUAUAUAUUGCACUACUACACGAUUAUCUCGGUUACGGAUAUCUCGCGGGGCAGGUAGUCCACGGAUUUUCUGGAUGCGUAAGGUGCAUGGAUGACACAACGUAUCGCCAGCUAGAUAGAGAUCCCGGGUCUUUGAAAACCGUGUUCAUGGGACAUCGACGUCCCCCUCGCCGCCGACGAUCAACCACACCCUCCCCCGCCCCACCGCCGCCGACGAUCAACCGCACCCUCCCCCGCUCCACCGGCCGCCGCCGCCGACCCCCGGCCCGCACCCUCCCCCACUCCACCGUCGCCGAUGACCCACCGCACCCUCCACUCCACCUUUUUCAUAUUCAUAAAUAUUUUCAAAUAACAAAUUUGAACAUAUUUUUUAAAAAAAUNNNNNNNNNNNNNNNNNNNNNNNNNNNNNNNNNNNNNNNNNNNNNNNNNNNNNNNNNNNNNNNNNNNNNNNNNNNNNNNNNNNNNNNNNNNNNNNNNNNNNNNNNNNNNNNNNNNNNNNNNNNNNNNNNNNNNNNNNNNNNNNNNNNNNNNNNNNNNNNNNNNNNNNNNNNNNNNNNNNNNNNNNNNNNNNNNNNNNNNNNNNNNNNNNNNNNNNNNNNNNNNNNNNNNNNNNNNNNNNNNNNNNNNNNNNNNNNNNNNNNNNNNNNNNNNNNNNNNNNNNNNNNNNNNNNNNNNNNNNNNNNNNNNNNNNNNNNNNNNNNNNNNNNNNNNNNNNNNNNNNNNNNNNNNNNNNNNNNNNNNNNNNNNNNNNNNNNNNNNNNNNCACCGCACCCUCCACUCCACCUUUUUCAUAUUCAUAACAAAUUUGAACAUAUUUUUUAAAAAAAAUAUUACUGUUUUUAUAAAAAAUAUUACUGUUAUGAUUUAACAAGUUUGAACAUAUUUAAAACACAAAUAAAUAUCAAACAACAUUUAAAAUGCAUAAAAAAAAUAUUGGGGAGCCUAGGAAUUGAACCCAGGACCUCCUGGUGUGUGUGUUGUGUGUUGACCAGUUGGGUUAGUGGACGGGUUCUGUUGUGGAUUGGGUUAGGUGGAAUAUAACCUGAGUGCUUGAACUGUAAUAAAAUAACAUUCUAAUGGCGGACCUCUGCGGGGUGCGCCAUUAGUAAGCUUCCCCCCCCCACUCCACCUAUUCCCCUCCCUCCCUUCCUCCCCACUCGACCUAAUUUGCCGUACGACGCCGCCGCGCCUGCACGCCCCAUCCGUCCCCUCUGUCCCCUGCCGCCGCCGCCCCGACCCCCGCCGGAAUCCACCCCCGCCGCCCCCGCGCCCCCCACCACUGCAGCUCCCCCGCGCCCCCAUGCCCCCUACCACUNNNNNNNNNNNNNNNNNNNNNNNNNNNNNNNNNNNNNNNNNNNNNNNNNNNNNNNNNNNNNNNNNNNNNNNNNNNNNNNNNNNNNNNNNNNNNNNNNNNNNNNNNNNNNNNNNNNNNNNNNNNNNNNNNNNNNNNNNNNNNNNNNNNNNNNNNNNNNNNNNNNNNNNNNNNNNNNNNNNNNNNNNNNNNNNNNNNNNNNNNNNNNNNNNNNNNNNNNNNNNNNNNNNNNNNNNNNNNNNNNNNNNNNNNNNNNNNNNNNNNNNNNNNNNNNNNNNNNNNNNNNNNNNNNNNNNNNNNNNNNNNNNNNNNNNNNNNNNNNNNNNNNNNNNNNNNNNNNNNNNNNNNNNNNNNNNNNNNNNNNNNNNNNNNNNNNNNNNNNNNNNNNNNNNNNNNNNNNNNNNNNNNNNNNNNNNNNNNNNNNNNNNNNNNNNNNNNNNNNNNNNNNNNNNNNNNNNNNNNNNNNNNNNNNNNNNNNNNNNNNNNNNNNNNNNNNNNNNNNGGAGGAGGACGAGGAGGAGGAGGAGACGACGACCGCCUCUAGGGAUUCGGCGUGGUCUUGUGCCGGCCUCGAGCCCUAGGGAUCCCGACCCCUCCGGCGACCAGGUACCUCUCCUCCUUCCUCCUUCCUCCUUCCUUUCUCUCCACCCUUCCCCAUUCCCUCUCCUCCCUCCCCUCCGGUUGUCGUUGCAAGAAUUCAUCAACCACGGCUUCCUCAGGCCAUAGAUACCACACUGAAACCGAAGAGGAUUUUGGCUCUGCGCUGCAGUAUCUAUCAUCUGAAGCAUAGGAUCCGCUGGCUCCUUUGUGUUGGCUUCAGAUAGUGGCAACAUAUAAAUCUGAAUGUUUGUACUUCACAGAAUUGUCCAUAUAUAGUUUCGUGCCAUUUAACUUUAGCCUGUAGGACUGCUAAAUACCUGAAGCUUAGGACUGGUUGAUUAGUUUACUGUACUUGAUUUACUGUUUGGAAAAUGUGAAUGUGAAUAUAAUGUAAGAAAACUCUGGAUGCAAGUCUACCAGUGUAAAGGAAAAUGACAACUAACCUGGAAUUCACUUCUUAUUUUGAUCUUAUUUUGAACUCCAAUAAGAAGCUUUGACUUGCUUCUCGUCUAGUUGAUGCACUGCCAAUUGCAUCAUGAUCUUAUAUCUGUUCAGAACUUUACUGUAGGCUUCUGUUUAGGUGUUCCAUAUGGGGUACACACCUAAACUACUUUCUGGCGUGUUGCUUUUUAAGUUGAAAACUGGACAUUCUACCAUCACUGCUUCCAAAAUCGAGCAUGGCAAGUAUAGUGGACAUAGUGCAAUUUUGCAUGUACUUGUUGCUGAAUGUAUUAACCACUAACCACUGCUUACAGAGACCGUGCUGAUUUUAAGUUUAGUCAGGAGCUAUGAUUUGGUUCAUCAUCUAGAUGAUGUAGAUCAUAUUACUGUUUUUUGUCCGUUGGUGGUUGCUGCCGUAAAUUCAGAGAAAUCAGCUGGGUUCAUAUAUUAAGAUGGUGUUAUAUUGUUAUAUUAAGAUGGAAACCUGGGAUACUUUUUAUGUAAUUAUGUCAGUUUUGUUUUGUAACUAGAAGACCAAAGUGUUAGGAAUUCUGUCCAAACUGUAGUUUUCAGUAUUCUAUCCAAACUGAAAACUGUUAAAAAGCAUGAUGUUUCUUGGAUUCCUGUAAUGAUGAUGAUGAUGGAACACAUGGUCUUAGAUUUCUGUAAUGAUGAUGGAACAUUAUAAAGCAUUGUACUCCAGUGUGUAUGAAGGAUACAAAAAAUUCAGCAACUUCUCUGAUUUUAUAAAGUUGUUCUUAUAUGGGUGAAACUUCACUUGUUUCUAUGCUAGUGCAGGGUGUUGCUUUAUUGUGAUGUCGAUUAACUUGAGUUUGCCGAGAGGCCCUUGAGUUUGUCGGAAUGUCGAUUAACUUCCGUUCCGGCAAAUUCGGGCACUCCAUAUGUCCUAUUUUCAGCAAAAGGUCAUGCUGAAAUUUUCCGUGAAUUUUAGCAUGACUUUGCUAAAAAUAGGACAUAUGGGGUACUUGCGACUAAUGCAUGUUUUAUGAUCUAUUCUAAGGGUACUAAUUGGUCUCUUCUGCUGCUUAUCAGAGAUGGCGGGAAGCAGCCACCGCCGCUCUGCGACACCGCAGUACGAGUUGGAUGCUUCCGAGUUCUUCACUAUCAUACUUGAGACUUCAGUAUCAUCCAUGACGCAGGUAUAUAAAACGAGAGAUCUCCCCUUCACCCAUCUCAUUAUGAUAUUUGUUGUUUGCUACAUCACUCAUUGUCCCAAACUAUAGAGGCUGCCUGACAGUUUUAUGAACAUGCUGAUGGGUGAAGAUCCACCAAAUAAUGUGAAGCUGCGACAGGCCGACAGCGGGUUUCGCAGGCAGUGGGAUAUGGAGUUGGUGAUCAAGGAGGGCCACAUGUACUUGUCUCGUGGGUGGGAGAAGUUCUACCGUGCCUACUGAAAGGACCACGAUGUCGCCUAGAGGGGGGGGUGAAUAGGCGUUUUAAAAUCUUUUACGGAUUUGGCUAUAUCCUAAUGCAGAAAUAAACUAAGCGGAUACUUUUCAAGCACAAAUCCUAAAUAUACUAGGCUCACUAAGUGCACCAACAACUUAGCAUAAACAAGAUGAGAACAACAUGAUAUGAGUAAGCACAAGUAAGUCACACAAACUUACUCAGUGUAUAUCACGAGGUAUGGAAAUGAAUAAUACACACAACCACAAGUAAGCAAUACAAGCUUAGACAAAUUGUAUCACAAUAUAUGGAAUUUAAUGAUACAAGCAAACUCAAGUAAGUUACACAAACUUACUUGAGCAAUAUCACAAUAUAUGGAAGUUUAUAACACAAGUUAGCAAUUCACACUAAUCACAAUGUAUAUCAAUAGUAGCAAGUAUGAAUUGCGGAAUAUGAAGUGUAGGCCUAAAUAAUCUCUACAAGGAAAUGGCCAACACAAUAUAAUCAACCACCACAAUAUAAUGAGGACAACAAGAUAUAGUGAAUGCACGGUCAAAUGACCAAAGUCAACCACAAGUAAGGAGUUAGGGUUAGGGAUAACCAAAGUCACGGAGACGAGGAUGUAUCCCGAUGUUCACUUCCUUGGAGGGAAGCUAGUCACCGUUAGAGAGGUGGAUGUUACCACGAAGGCACACCAACGCCACGAAGGCUCACCCUAUUCUCCUUGAGAUAUCACCACGAAGGCAAUUCUCAACCACUAGUGGUAGACCUUGAGGCGGCCUCCAAACCUUCACAAACUUUCCGGGGGACAAAUCACAAGUUGAUUCCUCACUGGAGCACUCCUACCGCCUAGGAGUCUCCAACCUCCAAGAGUAACAAGAUCAAGGGGGAAAUGCUCAAGACUUGCUCAAAUCACGAAUUGCUUUGGUCACAAGAGGGAGAGGGAGAGGAUCUAUCUUUUGAUUGGAACAACUCUCAAGAACACUCACUAAUCUCUCCGGGAUCUAAGAUUUGGUGUAGGAGAAGUGAGAGGGAGCCACUUGUGUUCUUGGGACGAUUUGGGAUGAAGUGCUCAACCCUCCCCCGGAGUGGGAGAGGGAUAUUUAUACCCCCAAAGAAAAUAGAGCCAUUUCCCGCAGUUGUUGACCUGCCCGGAUGAUCUGGACGCAUACCCGGAUGAUCCAGGAAGGUCAAUAUACAAUGUGCUGAAGUAGAUGCCCGGAUAUCCGGGGACAUAGCCGGAUGAUCCGGGCAAUUCCCGGAUGAUCCGGGUGGGUAGCCGGAUGAUCCGGCUAGCGGAAUAAACUUCUGUGAUGAAUUUUAUGAAUAACCCGGAUGAUCCGGGCAGGAACCCGGAUGAUAUGGGAGAGGACCCGGAUGAUCCGGCCAAACCAAACUGCUGCAGCCUAGAAACUGAAACAGGCACAACUUUUACAUCCGGACUCCGAUUUUGAUGAUCUUGGGCUCGUUUUGAAGCUAUGAAAAAAACACAGGUCCUCACAUAGAGAACCACCCAAGAUGAACCAAAAUGGAGGAUGCAAAAUAUGCAAAGGUUUUAUCAUGUAUUUGGGUAACCUAUUUGGCUUUGGAUUUUCUUUGGUAUAUAGGAUAUGAGUGGAAUUGUGUAGAGAAGAUGUUGACUUGAGCAAUUCUAUCACGAACCCCUUUGAUCCCCUCUUAAUAGUGCGGGAUCCCUAUAACUCAAGAAUCAUAAAAGGUCUACACUACAUAGCUAUCAAUAAUCCAUUCUUGAGUGUAUGUGUUCCUUCGGUGUUCAUCACUCCACAACACUAACGUCGAAGGAACUAAUACCUUUGACUCGAGCCUUUCACUUGAGCUUGAAGUUGAAGUUUCUUCUUGGAUCAAGUUGAAUGGCAAGACAUCGGUGAAGUCUUCAAGUAGCUCCCCCAUACACAAUGUGGGAAGCUUUGCUUUGUAUUUAUUUUCAUGUGUCCAUCAUGUGAUCAUCCACAAGCUUCAAGCAUGUAAUCCUUCGGGAUAGUUAUCUUGAACUUGCCCUUGUCAACCAUGAUCAUCAACACUUGAUGUCAUCCUCUCAUAGACACUUGAAAUAUCUCUCUGGAUGCGAGCCCAUGAGAAUCUCCUCUCAAAAACAUAGGCAACACAUAGUAUGGGUUAGUACACAAAGCGCAAUUGACAAAUUCUUACCAUACCACAAGAUCUCACGUGGCACAUGAUUUGCGCUUGUGUGUUGACCAUCUUUGAAUUCAAUCUUCGAUUUUCAUCUUGGUCAACCUUAAUCUUUGCUCCAUGAUUAAUCUUGAUGCACAACUACAUGUAUAUGGCAUUCAUUCCGAAUCCAUUCAAUAUCCUUCUUGCAUCACCCAUGGAACAAACCUUCCUAUAUAACUUGAUGUCAUUGUUUCUUCAUAGGAAUUGUCAUUCAUUAUCAAGUCUCAAUGCAUAUAUAGAUGUUGAUGGAUUUCAUCCACCAAUUCAUCCAAUAUUCUUCAUGCAUUGCAAAUGGAACUUUCCUUCAAAUGUAUAUCUCAGUGCAAACAUUAGUCCAUUAGGAUUGUCAUUUAAUUACCAAAACCACACAUGGGGACUACAUGUACUUUCAAUCUCCCCCAUUUUGGUAAUUGAUGACAAUCUCAACAAGAGGGUUUAUAUAAUGAAUUUUUAAACAAGCAUGAAAUUUAUCCAAGGAUAAAUUGUAUACUUGGGAUGGUUGUACUAUCAUCAAUACACUACACAAGCAUUUGAUGAUAGUACACCCAUAGUAUAUAGAGCAAACUCCCCCAUAAUAUAUGAAUUUGUGAAUGAACUUUGAAUGUCAUUGCAUAUAUUGGUUGACAUAAACUAGGAGAAGAUUUCUCUAUAUACAAGACUCAUCCAUGCAAUAAGAAUAUAUAACAAGGGUAGAUAUGCAUGAGUGACAACAAGAACUAGAAAAGAUAUUUAUCUUAAACCCUCUAAACUUCUCCCCCCAUUGGCAACAAAUGCCAAAAUGGAAGACAAAACAUCUAGCAGAUCAAUAUAGUAUGAGUUCCUCCUUGAUGUGUGCAUGUAACAAAAUGUGAGUGAAAACAAAUGCACAUAUUCAAUGAUGAACAAUUAAAGGAGCUCGAAAUCUAUAGAAUGCAACUAGAUACGAAGAUAUGAACUUUUUCAUGUAUAAAAAUUUCUAAGUGGCCUAUAAUAAUCAUGAUAUGUAUCCACAAAGAAACUCGUAUACACAAAAAGAAAGGUUGCAAUUGAUAAGAACAUGAUAUCCACAAGUGAAUCCACUAUUAUACAACUUGAGCCUAGUCAUAAUAGCAAGGCACAUGGCACAAAACACAUGGCACAAAUUGAUCUCAUUUGCAUAACACAAAGUGAAGCAAGCAAUCAAAAGAUCCGAUGAGCCAAAAGAAUAAAAGAAUAUUACGAUUUGGGUAAAGGAAUGUUCUAAGGAAAAUAGAGAAGCUCCCCAUGAUUUGUGCACAAUUGAAUUUUUUUUAUUUGGAUACAAGUGCACAAAAUAGGAUCAUCACUCCCCCAAAAUCAAUAGGAACACACAACAAUUGCAAGCAAACAUAGAUAAGAAAAGAAGCCUAGCAUUUGCAACAAACAUAUGGUUGAGCAACAUGUACAUGAGGCAACCUAAGAAUAGGCACAACCAAAAUGAUGUGUGUGAGACACGUCAAAGCACUUGAGAAGACUAGUAUAAGGAUGAGAAUUAAGCAUCAACAUAGCCUUGAGUAAAUGAGAUACAAGGUGCAAGACAUGUCCUUCCCACACACAUGAAGUUAAGAAGGUCACACACACAUCAAGAAAAUGGGUUCACAAGCUCACUAAUAGCAAACUAAAAAUCAAAGCUUGUGACAACCCAUGAUGAAGAUAGGAAAUAAUAGGCUUGUCAAGACAAGCAUGAGAACAACAAUCUUCACCAAACAUGAGUGCACUAAGAUGGAAAGAGGUAAGACAUGCACUCAUUCAACAAAUGCUUCCAUGGAGCCACCAAAAAGAUAUAAAAAGUGAAUGAAAUGGUGGACAUGAAAGAAUAGGGAUAUCAACUAGAGAUGUAACUUCUCUCACGUGUAUAAGAUACUAGGUAGAUGAUAUCCACAAAGAAGGAUGUACACAUAAAAUAGUUACAAAAGGAAAGAAUAAGAUAUCAAAACGGGAGUCAUAAAAUAUACCAAUGAGAUCUUUGCUUGAAAGCAUGGCACAUGGCUUAAUAUAAUCUUAUUGUAUAUUAAUGAACUCCAAACACACAACCAUCAAAGACAUCACAACUAGCAACAAGAGAUCAUUGUUGGGAUGCUUUGAGAAAGGAAACAAGUAUCACAGGAACGAGUCAAGAAAUUCAUGCCAUGAUGGAACCUACACAAGGUUAACCCCAUUUCUAUAUAUAUGCAUGAAGUAAAUACUUGUUACCGAGAUAGCAUUGGUAUGAAGUUGUAGAUCAAAUAAAAUGUCCAAGCUUGGCUCUAAUUUCCUCAUAGUGCCACCACCUUCAUGAAUAAGCCAAGCACCCAAUGCUUCUCAAAUGUACCUAAAACAUUUUAAGUACAAUAUGGUCCCCAAACUUAUUGGGUCCGACGUAGUUAGCAUAACUACAACACAUAGGGUAAAACCACUUAAAUAUGUGCCUAUUGAUAUGAAUUUGAAUUUCAUGCACAUCAUAGCUAUUAAGAAUUUUAUGGAUUUACCAUAUAUAUAUUGGAUCAAAUAAGGCAAACAAGGCAUGUGAAUUUACACAUAGUAAAUAUGCAUGCAUAAGCCUACCAAAAUCCAGGGAGAUAUAAAUUGGACAAAUGACCACAUAACUGUUAAUACUUCCAAUAACAACACUAGUCAUUCAUGUUGUCCAAAAUGAAUCAAAGUGACAAAUCAACAUAUGAUAGCACACAAAGUUCAACAUAUGAACCAAGGAAAAAAAACAAUGAGCAUAUAAGAUAUGCAUUGCACACAUACUCAUAGGAAUAUCCCACUCAAGUAGAUAUAGGACACUAUAAACAAUGAGAUAACAAACUCUCAUAUAGAGCAAUAAGAUGAAUUCGAACAAAAUGGUAUUUCGGGUUAUCAUUGGGUGUAGAAACCAAAUAAGUACAUGAUCAUCUAUACUAACACAAGCAUAACAUGAGAGUUUAGGAAUAACCACAAUGCUUGGAUAGCAUAAUAUUAACAUUCUGACUAGAUAGAUAAUCAUGAAAAGCAAUAAUUGGAAUAGCUUUAAUCAAAUGAUUUUCCAAAUAUGGUUUUAAAGAUAACCAUGGGCAAAACCGCACAAGAAUGCCAUACGUAAACAAGACAUUGCAUGCCACGGAGAUAUAAGAUAAUCUCAAAUAUAAAUUCUAGGUGGCAUCCCUCAAUUGUUCAUAUUAACAAGGAUUGUGAUAUGCACAAAGCAUAUCACUCCCCCAUAAUAUGAUGAUCCAUGUAUUAUCCACAAGAAGCAAAUGAAACCCAACUAAGGAUAAUUAAUGGAUGAGAAUUUGAGUUUCAAAUGAGCUUUACAUACCACAUAGUACCUUGAUAAUAUAGCACUAACAAUACUAGGUGGUAUCCCAAAUACAUACACCUUUAAGGUUUGUGAUAUCCGUAAAACAUAGCACUCCCCCAUAAUGUGAUGAUCCAGCCAAGGAAGAUUCAACUAAUGAAGCAAUAAAGGCUUGAAACCACACACGCACAAAUAUAUGAAGUGCAUUGUGACCUACACAUGCUAGAUAACACAAAUCAAGCAUACUAGGAAGCACAACUAAAAAAGCACAUGCUAGGUACAAAACCUAAACAUGCAAGGGACACAGUAACUUUCAAUGUAAACAAUGCAAGUACAAGUUACCGCAAAGAGGAGCAUUGGAUUGAUAGAUAUGAUGAUAAUCCACUUGACUUGGCAUUAACCAUAACAUAUGGUGAAAAUAGUUUUUCUUCAUGAAGUAGCCAAGUCUCCAAUGCCCUCCACACACCUAUUGAUCAAGUUUGAGCUUGAUGGUCCCCAACCAAGUUGGGUCCUAAGAAGUUAGUAACAAUAGGCUUGGCAACCCAAAUGGUCUUGUCCACUUUCAAACUUCUCUGGGAACCCACAAACUUGGCAAACACAUUGCCAACAAUAUCCUUCUUUAGCAAAUAAUGAUUAUUGACUAUAGGAGGCUUAGAUAUGUUACUGUUGGAACAAGAUGAAGCUAUGUGUCCCUUCUUACGGCAAAUAUAGCAACAUGUGCUCCCCUUUCUCUUCUUCUUUACCUUUUCAACUUGGAGAGCAUUAUCUUGGUUAGGCAUGGGAAGAGGCCUUUCAUUAUCUUGAUAUUGAACUUGAGGCCACUUCCCUUGAUGCUUCACACUUGAAGCCUUCUUCUUCAAUGGACAAGAUCUCACAUGGUGUCCAACAUUCUUGCACUUGAAGCAAAUAAUGUUGGCCGAAUUCUUGACUUGAUCUCGUCCCUUCUUCUUGUUCUUGGACUUCUUCUUGUUGGAGAUGAAAUCAAGUCCAAUUUUGUCUUGAGGGUCCUUUUGCACACUCAAGAUAUUAUCACAAUAUUUUUCCAAGUCUUUCUUCAAACUGGUGACUUGGGCCUUGAGCUCUUUAUUUUCCUCUACAAGGUUAGUAUUAACAAAAGAACUAGAGGAAGUAGAAACUUUUAGAGCAACAAGGCAUGGUGAGCAAUUCAUCACAAGAUGUACCAAUAUCAUGUAGAGAGGAAUUGCAAGGACUAGCACAUGGCAAUAAGGCACUUCGAGUAGAAGAUGUGCUAAUAUCCACAUGAGACUCACACGAUUUUACCUUGGUCCACAUAGCCUUAUGAGCUAACUUUAGCCCAUCAUGAGAGAUUAUAAGAUCCUCAUGAGUGCCCGAGAACAGGGAUAUCAACUAGAGAUGUAACUUCUCUCACGUGUAUAAGAUACUAGGUAGAUGAUAUCCACAAAGAAGGAUGUACACAUAAAAUAGUUACAAAAGGAAAGAAUAAGAUAUCAAAACGGGAGUCAUAAAAUAUACCAAUGAGAUCUUUGCUUGAAAGCAUGGCACAUGGCUUAAUAUAAUCUUAUUGUAUAUUAAUGAACUCCAAACACACAACCAUCAAAGACAUCACAACUAGCAACAAGAGAUCAUUGUUGGGAUGCUUUGAGAAAGGAAACAAGUAUCACAGGAACGAGUCAGGAAAUUCAUGCCAUGAUGGAACCUACACAAGGUUAACCCCAUUUCUAUAUAUAUGCAUGAAGUAAAUACUUGUUACCGAGAUAGCAUUGGUAUGAAGUUGUAGAUCAAAUAAAAUGUCCAAGCUUGGCUCUAAUUUCCUCAUAGUGCCACCACCUUCAUGAAUAAGCCAAGCACCCAAUGCUUCUCAAAUGUACCUAAAACAUUUUAAGUACAAUAUGGUCCCCAAACUUAUUGGGUCCAACGUAGUUAGCAUAACUACAACACAUAGGGUAAAACCACUUAAAUAUGUGCCUAUUGAUAUGAAUUUGAAUUUCAUGCACAUCAUAGCUAUUAAGAAUUUGAUGGACGUUCUGCCUCUUCUUAUUCCUCUACAUUUGGCUUUGUCUCACAUCGAUUGUUAACAGUCAUUGUUGCAUUUGGACAGGUAAUGGGAGCAGCAGCAGCGACACUAGCUACAGCCAAAGCAGCAGCGACUAUGGCUGUAGCGAAAGCAGCAGCGAUUCUGGCUGUAGCGAAAGCAGCAGCGAUUCUGGCAGCAGCAUAGACAACAAAAAGGAUGAUCCGGACUGGAGUGCGGGAGAAGAGGAGCUGAGUGGGGAUGAAGAGCUGCAGGAUGACGAUGGGCAUCAGGCUGAGGAUGACCUAGCGCUGGUGGUGGCUGACCAAGGGCAAGAGAUGGUGGUGGCUGACCAUGGGCAAGAGAUGGUGGUGGCUGACCAUGGGCAAGAGAUGGAGGUGGCUGAGGAUGACCUAGCGAUGGUCGUGCCUGAAGGUGGCCUCGCGAUGGUGGUGGUGCCUGACAAUAACCACGCACCGAUGGUGGCACCGGGGAUCCCACAGCUGGGCGACAUGACCACGCCAAUUGUGGUAGAAGACUACAUCCCACUGCCUCCACUGCCUCCACCGCCUCGCCGCUCUUGGUGCAUCAGGCUGAGGAAGGAGAAGGAGAAGAACAAUGCAUGAGAACUGAACUUUGUCAGGUAUGUCAGAUCUCCAAAAUGAUAUAUCACUAGUAGAAAAAGGACCUUAUGUGAGACACAUUAGUCCCGGUUCGAUUUUGGCCCGGUACUAAUGGUAUCAUUAGUACCGGUUCGAACGGCUAUGCAUUAGUGCCGGUUCGUGUUGAACCUUUAGUACCGGUUCGUGCCACGAACCGAUACUAAAAGGGUGGUGGCAGGCUGGCGUCAGGCCGAGGCCCCACGAGCCCCUUUAGUCCCGGUUUGUGGCACAAACCUGUACUAAAGGGCCAACCUUUAGUACCGGUUCGUGCGACGAACCGGCACUAAAGGGGUCUAACCUAUAGUCCCGGUUGGAGACACAAACCGGGACUAUAGGGCAAUUUUCAAGCUUGAAAAAAUUAUAACUAAAUCAUCCUAAUUCAAAAAAAUACAUAUAAUAUAUCAAAAUCCCAAAGGGAAAAUAGAGUUUUUGGACGUUUUUAGCGUUUAGUGCUAGGGUUUAGAUUUCAGAGUUUAGGGUUAGGUUUUAUGGUUUAAACCCUUAGUUUUUACUGUUUAGCAUAGAGUUUCCGACGUUUUAAGUCCCGGGUUUAGGGUUUAGGACAAUUUUUUAAAUGACAAAAUUGUAAAAGGAAAAAAAGAUAUGCUCUAAUUUAUGUUUUUUAAAUUUUUGGUUAAAUCUUGUCAAACCGGUCAAACAACUGAUUCAAGAAAUAUAGAGUGUUACUAAAUAAUUACGCAAUAAUAUUAGUGUUACUAAAUAAGUAUCUCAGUUUUUUUGAAUUUUGGUCAAAUCUGGUCAAAUUGUGGUCAAACUAUGGUCAAACUACUUAUUCAAGAAAUAUUAGUGUUACUACAUAAUUAUUGUUUUUUAGAAUAAUAGUUUCAAACUCAAACAGUGAAACGUCUGACUUCAUGCUCAAGCUAAACUCCUCAGGGUUAAUAGGAUUCACAUCUUACUAUUAUCAGGAAAACAACAAGUGCAGACUUGGAAACGAGGGAGAAUAGAACCUGGAAGUUAAGCGUGCUCAGGCUAGAGUAGUGAGAGGGAUGGGUGACCGGUCGGGAAGUUAGACGAUUUGGAAUGAGUGAUCCACACUCGAGCAGUUAAGAUGGGCGAUUAGAGACUAAAUCAUCAAAUAAUUCAGAAAAUUUAAAAUCGAAAAAAAAUCAAAUUUUUUUCCAAAAUUUCAAAAAUAUAAUUUCAAAAAAAAUACCUUUAAUACCGGUUGGUAACACCAACCGGUACUAAAGGUCCCCCAUACCACGGCGCGAGCUCACACCACGUGGUGGGCCUUUAGUGGCGGUUCGUGCCGAACCGGUACUAAAGGGGGGAAGCCUUUAGUCUCCACUCUUUAGUGCCGGUUGCAGAACCGGCACUAAAAGCCCUUAUGAACCGGUAUUAAAGCACCGUUUUCUACUAAUGUAUAUAUAUACUUAGUUAUCUAUGUUAUCUCUAAUAUGCUUAGUUUCCUAUAGGUUAGCUUCAUUUUACCUAAGUUGGCUCUAAUAUGCUAACUUAGAGCUUAUAUGCUUAGUUUCCUAUAGGUUAGCUCCAAAAUUACUUAUGUUAGCACAAAAUGAUCAAGUUUACAUAAUAAGCUUAUAGUCUUUUUCUUAUUCUUCUUUUCCAAAAUGACAUAGGUUAGCUUCAUUUUACCUAAGUUGGCUCUAAUAUACUAACUUAGAGCUUAUAUGUUUAGUUUCCUAUAGGUUAGCUCCAAAAUAACUUAUGGUAACACAAAAUGAUCAAGUUUACAUAAUAAAUUUAUAGUCUUCUUCUUAUUCUUCUUCUUUUCCAAAAUGACAUAGGUUAGCUUCAUUUUACCUAAGUUGGCUCUAAUAUGCUAACUUAGAGCUUAUAUGCUUAGUUUCCUAUAGGUUAGCUCCAAAAUUACUUAUGUUAGCACAAAAUGAUCAAGUUUACAUAAUAAGCUUAUAGUCUUCUUCUUAUUCUUCUUCUUUUCGAAAAUUCUUCUUAUUCUUCUUCUAGUGUUCUUCUUCUUCUAGUAUUCUUCUAGUCUUCUUCUUCUUCUUCUUCUAACUUCUUGUUUAUCAUUUUGCAGAUUUGAUUUAAUUUACGGAAGCUUGCAUGGAUGGAGUGCUUCUUUUCCAUUUGUGUUUUUAUUUUGUAUCAAUGUGAAACUUUUGUGAAUUGAUGGAUAACGGUGUUGGAUGAACAAUGUGAAACUUUUGUAAUAUGUAACGAUGGAACUAUGUGUUGGCUAUGUAUGUAUAUAUGAUGGAACUUGUGUGUUGGCUAUGAUUGUUAUAUGGAUGCUUGUUGUAUAUAUAUGUGUUGGAUAUCUCAUAUGUGAAAUAGUGAUCUGAGAUUAAGAAAAAAAUUUAAAAAAAUUGUUACUAAUGGCGCACUAUCAUGUGGUGCGCCAUUAGUAUAGUAGACUCUAGUGGCCCACUGUGGGCAAAACUAAUGGCGCACUGCGUGGUGCGUCAUUAGUAUACCAGAUACUAAUGGCGCACCAGUAGUGCGCCAUUAGUAAAAAAUACUAGUGGCGUGCUACUAAUGGCGCACCGGUAGUGCGUCAUUAGUAGGCAAAACCGGUGCGCCAUUAGUAGGCCUUUUCCUAGUAGUGAAGAGGUUAGUACUUUCUGCAUAAAGACAUAGACUAAGUUGACAGAACUUGUGCAGGGACCAUAUUUGCUUCUCCAGGUCCAGAUAUUCGAGGUGUGGCGGCGUGGUAGCACUAAUGGGUGGUGUAUGUGAUGGAGUACGUGUAGCUACACGGCCUUCUCACUUCUAGAAUAAACCAACUUGGUGUUCUUGCACGUAUCCAAUUUCUUGUUGUGGUCAAAGUCUGUUCUACCGGGAUCAACAUAAUCUUGCUGCCUCUCAUUCCUAGCUAUGUGUGUGUGUAAUUGAUCAAGCGGCACAAGAGAGGUCAUGCAUCGCAUUUCUUGCUCGAUUUGUAGUUGUGUAGGAGAAAAAUAUUGCGACUAUAUAGCAUAGAGUCGAAGGUGAUAGGUGAGAUCCAGAGUGGAAUGUAAUUCAUCAAUAAAUAGUGCCAGGAGGAAUACCAGUAUCACAUGUAUGAAGAAUAAAGACGAUGACUAAUUGACCUGAUGAUUGAAAAAACUUAACAUUCUUUUUUUUUCAAGGAUACGUCAAGCAGACGUAUCGAGAUCAUAGAUAGAAGAUGCCAAGAUGGCGGGUUUUUACAACGUUACAACACAACCCACGGCUGCACGAGCCCGAGUCCGCAUGCUAACUACUCGCUACCACUCAACCGAUCUAACCUAGCUGGGAGUGAUCUUGCCUCCCUCAGCAGGGCCGCAGCCCUCCAGUUCUUUCCCUCCGCCUCGAUUUGCCGGAGGACCGUGCCGACAGAUGGGGAAGCUCCAUUGAACACGAUGUCGUUCCUAUGGUUCCACAAUGUCCAAGCCACUAAGGUGAUCACUGUCCAUGUUUCCUUCCUCUUGGUCUUCUCGAUGUUAAGGGAAGUCCACCAUCGAACUAGCUCAGCCUCCGGCUCCGGAGUCCAGUGAGGCUUUCCCCAGUUGCCCAUAAUGACGGACCAUAUUUGUCGAGCGACAACACAUCCAAGGAGCAGGUGAUCGAUCGUUUCUGGCUCCUGAUCGCAAAAUGGGCAUGGCGCCGGAUGCGGCAAUAAACGUCGUUGCAAUCUGUCCACCGUCCAACAUCUUUUCUGCGCCGCCAGCCAGGAAAAGAACUUGCACGUUGCCGGUGCUCUGGACUUCCGAAUCUCCAUUGCUCCCGCGGACUCAAUACGUGCGGCAAAAUGAGCUCGAUAAGCUGACCGAGCCGAGAACAAGCCAUCUCCCACUACAAGGAUUCGGGUCUAUUGCAACAAAAUUGUUCGUCGCGAUACAUGUCCAUUUGUGAUGAUAAGUACCUAUUGCCACGAAACAGCGUUCGUUGGUAGGCGUUGCGAUUGGACACAUGGUAAUAGGUUAUUGCCACAAAAAAGCAAUUGUGGCAAUAAAGUGUGCUAUUGCAACAACCAUGUGGGAAGUCGCCACAUGUUUUCCCGUGGCAACACUCAUCUGAUGCCACGAUUUGCUUUGUGGAGAUAGCUUUAAUGCAACAUGUAACGAAUCAUGGCGACUGAUUGCUUGUGGCGAUAAAGAUUUGUGGCAACAACCUAUGCCAACGACGCUCGUUUCGUGGUGCAUACUGUUCCGUGGCAAUAGUCAAUUGUGGCAAUAAACUAUGGCAACGGUCCUUGCUUUCGCGGCAUUAGGCAUUUUGCGACGAACCGCUACACUUGUGGCAUUAAGUUAUGGCAACAAAUAUUCCAGUCGUCGUAAUAAGAAAUUGCAACAUACUAGUUUUGGCGGUGAUAAAUAGGUAUCACAACAAGUGAAAUGUUUGUAGCGAGAAACUAUUGCAACAAUUUAAAUUUUCAUGGUACUAACAUGUGGCAACCAAAAGUGGGUUGUGGCAAUAGCCUAUUGCAACCUAAAAAAAGACAUUCAAUUACAGUAUUUAAAACCACACGUAUAAUAUGUAGAUUCAUAAAAUUCAUAAUUCUCAUAGCAAAUAUCCAUCAAAUGUAAUGUAGCCAUCCUAAUUAAGUUCCAAGACUAAAUUGCCCGUGAUCUAGAGUCCAAUCGAGCUAGUUCUUUGGAUCCUGCAAUCAAAAAAUCGAAGUUAAUGAGUCGAACAUAACAUACGCCAUACAAUUAUUCCUGCCCCGUUGUUAAAAAGAACUGUUGCAAUUGUUAGCCACUUUUUUGCAACAACAUUUGUAACUAAUGCAACGUCACGCCGAUGUUGCAAUAUCUUUUUGAAUAUUGUCACGAAUAGUUAUUUUGUUGACAUACCUAGUCUUUAUUACAACAAAAUGACUGCCCUCACGCAACAAAAUUUGUUCGUCGCAAUACCACUAUCAUAUUACAACGUCGAUAUAGUUUGUUGCAAUAUGAGGCCUGUAUUGCAACAAAAUUAGUAUGUAUCGGGAUGAACUAAGUUAUGGCAAUAUGUGCGGCCUAUUACUACAACUGGAGAAUUUAUGGUAAUAUUGCGUUUUAUUGCAACAAAACGUAGUUGUAGCAACAAAUUUUGUUGCAAUAGACCGGAAUCCUUCCCAACACCAGACAACUUUGUCGUCAAUCCCGUCCGCUAGUUGGAUAUUCCGUAGUCGGUCGACCAAUUGUAUGAACUCUUGUAAGGCGUGGGUGUUCAUGUUGGGCGACACAUCACGCCACCAUUGUCCUGACUUAGCUUGCCUCACUGUCCUCACCUUUGUUGCGCUCUUCUUGACGACACGAAAUAGGUUUGGCAGGAUAUCAUGUAUGCGUCCCUCUUGAAGCCACCAAUCUGUCCAGAAUAAGAUCGUGGAUCCGUCCCCAAUGGUGCAUUUCGUGGCUGCUCUAUAGAUGGCUAGUGAGUCCGAUGAGACUUGGAUGUUGAAUUCUGCCCAUGGUCUAGCCGGAUCCGUCCUUGCAAGCCACGACCAUCUUGCUCUCAGCGAGAUAUUAAGCAGGCGCAGAUUGGGCACUCCCAAACCCCAAACUCCUUCGGCGAGCAAACUUUGUCCCAGGCGACCAAACAAUGCCCUCCAUGCACGUCCCGGCGACCCUUCCACAUAAAACCUCUACAAAUUUUGUUGGCAGCUUCAAUCAUUUUGACGGGCAGGUCCAUCGCCAUCAUGGCGUGUAUUGGCAUCGAUGCCAGGGUGGUCUUCACUAGCUCCAAUCGCCCGGCACGGUACAGUAGUCUCGCUUGCCAAGCUGGUAGUCUGUCCGCCAUCUUGUCCACCAGGAAUUGUAGUUGACUCGCUCUGAUCUUCCUUAGUCCAAGUGGCGGGCCAAGGUAUCUACAUGGCCACCCCAACACAGCGCAACCCAUCUCGGCAGCUAUGGUGCCGAUCUGCUCAUUUGUGCACCUAAUCGGGUGCGCAGAACACUUCCCAAGAUUCGUGUGCAGGCAUGAUGCCUUCUCGAAGUCUUGCAGAAGAAGGCUACAUGCCCAGAUACUUAGGGCCUCCGGCCUGAUAAAGGUGACCACAUCAUCCGCGAAGAUCGAGGUGCGGUUCCUAAGAUCCGUCAGGGUGAGUGGUGCUAGAACUCCGGACUCUGCGGCGUAGUUGAGUAAGGCGUGGAGGCAGCUCAUAACCAUGACAAAGAGUAGUGGGGAAACUGGGUCUCCCUGCCGGAAGCCACACUUGUUGUAAAUAACCUCGCCUGGCACGCCGUUGAGCAGCACCCGAGUGGAAGAUGAGGCCAACAGACCGACUACCCAUGCGAUCCACUUGUCUCCGAAGCCUAGGUGUCAUAGGACCUCCAGCAAGAAUAAAACUCAACAUUCGAAGCUUAAUUACUUGGAUCACAAAAUCUCUUUUUUGGCAGUGGGUGCCUCGAAGUCCCUGUCCAUAGACUUAAGGAAACUAGCAAAAGGGUAUAUGUGAUACACGUGUCAUAACAUGACACUAAAAUAUUUAAGCACCCUUCAAUAUAUUGAAAUAUGCCUCUCCCGUGCGUCCUGGUUGGGGGAACUGGCUUGGAUGUUUCAGAGGGAAGAUGAUGCCCGCUGAUCCCAUAUGUUGCGCGCCAACAACUCGUGGGGAAACAUUGGAAGGCUGGCACCUUGUCACCGAGCACCGUCAUUUGCCAUCUUCAAAGGCCUUUCAUUAACCCGCUUCCAAUGCCCAGCCGGCUCCUCCGUCAUGGUUAAGGGAUCGAUGUUUUCGGUGCCUCUCCAAUGGUCAUCAUCCACACUCUUGCAGGGACCCAAUUCGGUGCGAAAGCUGCCUCCGUUUCGGCCACACUGCUCGCUUCUGUCAUGCAAAGAACACCAGCCACCAGUCUAAGCCACUCCGACGUGCUGCUCCAUCACCCUCCCAAGUGCCUGCUCCUACCAAGGAUGCUACCAUGCUAGAGGUGCCACUGCAGUCUGUCCUCGCGGAGCAGGCUGAGCUGCAAGACUGCCUGAUGAGAGUUGAGAAUUUUUUGGCGAGAGCUGAGGCGGUUCUGUGCAGGCUCACAAUCAUACCAGAUGUGCCUCCGCUGGCCGAGAUCCAGGUUGAUCCCAAGGGCGAGGGUGAAGCAGACCCCUAUGGUUGUUUCUCUCUCCUCGUGGUAGGCACAUCGCCGAGGUCGUCACUCCAAUGAUGCAGAUUAUGCCUGGGCUGCAGGAGCUAUGUGAGGCACCAUCUCCGCCUUUGUCGAUGGUGCUUCCAAAAGGAGAUGGGUUUGGUGAUGCCCAUGAUGCCGUCAUUGCUGAUGUUGGCAGCAAGCCCGCCAUUCGUCAUUGUGGACAAUGAGAGACAUGAUUCGUCUCUGUCAUGUGAGCAUCUGGAGAUGCCUGAGUCCAUCGUGUCGGUGGUACCUGUGGCUGAUGAUUUUGAUGCGGUCGGUAUGUUGGCGCCUGAUCCUCUGGAGCCUAGCCAGCUGCUUGCCUUUGUGGAUCGUGGACGUUCUGACGUUUUGGUCAGCCAGUCGCACGUGACAGUUGGCCAGGUUUUUGUGCUUGACAAGAUCUACGAGAUUCUCUCCGAGUUAGAGAUUCACAGCUUGCUCGCACGUUUGAAGAGGGCUAGCCCUGGAUCUGGCUCUCAGGAGCAAGAGCAAGAAGAGUAGCGCCACAGAAAAGGUGUCUGCAGUUGCUUGAUGGUUGGUCACCAGUCUCUUGGGUUGUCCUUAUGGCUUGACCUAUCUUCGUGGAUUUGGUGAUGCCUGUGGUCUUCGUUGAAGGUUUCUUUGCGAUNNNNNNNNNNNNNNNNNNNNNNNNNNNNNNNNNNNNNNNNNNNNNNNNNNNNNNNNNNNNNNNNNNNNNNNNNNNNNNNNNNNNNNNNNNNNNNNNNNNNNNNNNNNNNNNNNNNNNNNNNNNNNNNNNNNNNNNNNNNNNNNNNNNNNNNNNNNNNNNNNNNNNNNNNNNNNNNNNNNNNNNNNNNNNNNNNNNNNNNNNNNNNNNNNNNNNNNNNNNNNNNNNNNNNNNNNNNNNNNNNNNNNNNNNNNNNNNNNNNNNNNNNNNNNNNNNNNNNNNNNNNNNNNNNNNNNNCCACAAGUGAUUUGUUUGUAUCGGUUUUCGUUCGGUUUUCCGUAAAUUAACUAGGCAAUCGAUGAGGCAAAUCUUUUGCCUCCGUUUCAAAAAAAAAAUCAUGUAUGCAUGUUGUCAGACGUACAUUCAGAAAUCAACGUGGCACUAGCAGCUCCUACUGUCAGUGAACAAAACCAGACGGGGCUAUCAAAUAACUCGUCUUCCUUAAGGUCUACAGAGUUUUCUUUCCAUUCCAACCACUCUUAGUGUAGAUAGAUGGAUAGAGGCGACAACAUAUUCCCAAUGUUCUCAACAGGGAGAGCUCUCUGUGUCGCGAAGAGACAACCAAAUAGGACACAAAUGUUUAUCGUGAUCGACAUCUAAGACCAUAAACAGGAGUGAGGUUGCCUUGAUAGCACUAAGCACAUAACAUGACAUCACCACCAGGCGAUGUCGCAAGCACUAUUAAGCCAUAACGCUGGGGCACGGGGCCAACAGGGGCUACCCGGCAUCCAAAACAGCUCCACACGCUCAUGUAGCCAAGACGGUCAAGCGAACACUGAUGUUGCAAUUAUAGAUUAUAUCAUUCAAAAGAAAAUAGUUGUCGUGAUGUCGUGUCAGCAUGGAUUGAAUCGUUAUCUGAAUAGAUGCAAAGGUGAGAAAGCAGACCGACUUUCAGUUUAGUUCACUUCAACAGUUAUGAGGCUGGCUCUCAGGUCACCGUAAUUGGGCAUCCCUGGGGCGUGUGCUAAGAAGACUCCAACACAGUUCGCUCUCCAAAAAAGCUGACACCAUCAGCUCCUGCUAGCGCUGUAGGUGAACACAAACAAUCGAGCCAACAAAUAAGCAGCUAGACAAUAAAACAAGGCAACCAAAUUUGGAUAAAAUUGUCAAGCAUCACUUGGAAAGAGAUGGAUCACCCAGAUAUACCCAGCAGAAAGACCAUUGUUUAGCGCCAACACAGGUCACAAUUAGCAAGCCCUUCUUAAUCUAGCAUGAAAUUGAUGGUGUCCUACUUCUGAUACAUUUCUACACCUUGAAGAUAAACAUUAGCGGGCAAAGUAAGCAAUGUUGGGACUGGACACUCGAGCAGCUCGAAACAGAAGACGAGAAAAAAAACAUAGUUCCAAGAAGCUCAAAUAAAGCAGCUUGUAGAGUUUCUCGUCAGGGGAGUGAGAAUACGGUUCUACAGUUUUACCAUCACAAGAGUUCAUCACCAUGUCUCCAAGGUGGUAGUCCACGGAUGAAGAAUUGAGUUGCACAAACCAACAGAAAGCUAUACAAAAUUACGGCACCGCUGUCACACUUUAUUCGACUUUUUACUGUCAAAGUUGCAUCAGGGGCAAGGCCAUCACCGCGCCAAAAACAGAGACGAUAACCACCAUCAGCCAAAAGGGCACUCGCUUCUUCAGCUUCUUUUCGCCGCGGACCUCGGCCACUGGUCUUCCUAUAUUGUUCACCAUAGCUGCCGCCUGCAGGACGGCGGCAUGAGAAGGAGCAGGGGCAGGGUUCUCCUGGGGCUCUGGUUCCGCGCCAGUUUGCUCCUUUUCUUGUUGUUGGUUGUACUUCUCAACAUACUCAGGAAACAGUUUCCUGAAGUGCGGGCAAUUUUUGCUGUGGAACAAGAGCAGACUUGAGUAAACCUCAUGGUUUGGAACAGGGAAUAUCUCGUGGAAGAAGGCGUAGUCAAAACAAGACACAAGAAUAAAUGUCAUUUCAGAAUAAGCCAACAAAUGUCAGCUGUCUAAAAGUGAAUUAGAUAUGCAGUGAUUUGGCACUGGUAUACUGAGCUCAUUGCAUUUGGGAAAAAUACUGAAUGAGAUAGGAUCCCCUAAAAACAAAAAAACCAAGAUAUUAAUUAUGGAAGCAUAUUUACUGAACAGUGAGCAAAAGCUACUGCUAAUUCCUGCAUCUGAAGGAUUAACCUUUUUCUCAGUCAACACCCAAAAGAACUAAGCCUAUCUUGCAUAUAAAUACAUUUACCUCUCACAGUUGUACGCAAGAGAAGCCUUUGCUAAACGCUUCUUCUCUCCAUCUGUACUUCUGAUGCUUCCAGUUGUAAGAGCAUCAUCCAUCUACAAAUACAAGAACAAUUUUACAGUUUACAUCAGAAGGCAAGAAGCUGGAAAUAAUCAUGUUCUUUGGUCAACCAGAUGGUUCUAAGGGUAUAAAAAACCAACAAAAAGCUGUAGAAGCAUAUUUUUUGUACUUUAAGCACCAGAAUACUAGAUUUAGAUGACUAGCAUGGAAAUUAAGAUUAUCAGAAGAACUGAAACAUUAACCAACAGUACUGCAUCCUUGCAAGUGAAAUACCAACAUUGAUUGCGUAAAAACACCCAAAAGAAUUACUUGCAGUAGUAAUGUAGCGUUUAGUAAGUAUUUAUAUUUUAUAGUACAAACUGCUAGGUUUGAAUAACAGUUCAUCUCCAAAAUAUGUGUGUCAACAAUUAAGAAUUGCAUUGAAGUUCUUUUGCUAACUCGUAGAUGACAAAAAAGUAACAACUUACCAUAAAUGAGAGGAGUCCUGUUAGAAUGCUGCAGCACAAAGGCGUAUGUCAGACCGGUGAAGAGAAAAGAACAAGAAUACCAUAUAGCAAAACAUAUUCACAGACUGACAAUGACGGAUCACUUGUAUCAUUGGAAAAGUGAAGGUAGACUUUAAUUUGUUGCAAUGUUUUGUUCAAUAAAAAGUUCGGUUGACUUCCAAGCAAACCAGAAAAGCAUCACUCAUGGAUGUUCAUACAGAAUAAGAAAAUUGCGGUUGAGCAUUUAAUUUGAAGGCAAGUAACUGAAGACCAUAAACUCAAGUAGCUGAUAUUUAAAGGGGAAACAUCUUAUGGGGAUACAUCUAGGUUCAAACUUAGGAGCUGAAGAGCAUGAUUGGUUUAGUUACCCGCAAAAUAUUUUAAAAUAUGUCAAAUGAAAAUACGUAUUCCCCAGGCCUGGGAAUGAGAAGACACUACUAUCACUCACUCAUCGAGGUAUAUCAUUAUGUGCGUACCUUGCUACAGACCACAUGGGAUUCCAAGAUUCUGGAUGAACUGCAAAAACAAAGCAAUAUGAGAAUUACUUCAAUCCGAUUGGAGAAAGGUAAAAAAAAAAUCUGAAACCAGUAUGGUGCUUACAAUCACUCAUUGAUAGGCAUAUCCUUUUGUGAGGGGCAAACCUGCCGCUGGGGGUUGUCAUGCUGAACAAGAAAGACAAAUUGUAAGUAGAAAUCUAAGAAAAGUCCAUUUAUUAAUUCGAUAUCAACAUAUUUAUCUAAUUGUUUUCCUUUUAAACAUCCAAAUAACAAGGAUGUCGUUAAAAAGGCACAACCAAUGCUGUAAUGCUUCAGUACCUGAUACUUGGAGGUUUAAAAGGGUAAUCAGAGGGAAAUUUAAGCUUCCCAUAGUAAUAUCCACCUUCAGGAGGAAAAAACAAGUGCAAAAGGACUGUUAAACAAGUGCAAAAAGACUGUCUGGCAUAGGAUAGUACGUAGAAGAUAGUAGUUUCAAAUAUGUAUCAUAUUUACCUUCAAAGGGUGUGGCUACACUUCCUUCAAGUACAAAAUCUGGCAACCAAAAGACCAAAUUAAGUAACUGAUAGUCUGAUAAUAAGCUUGAAAGUGAGCAAAAAUAUAGACAGCACUAAUAACAAGCAUGCCAACAAUGCAAAUGACAUACUCCCUCCGUUCCUAUGAAGAGGGCGUAUAUUUUUUUUCUCUGGAUUUUUCUGAAAACAAGGUGCGGGGUGUGAUUCAAAUGCUUUUCUUCCUACAUUACCCCUGGUUCUCCUCCUCUAACCUCGCGCUGUACGUGUGAAUUGGUUGCCACCUGCAGGCUGGGAGAAAACAGCAUGCAUGUCAGGCUGCUUUUAGUACCAUGCAUGAGGCGCUAUAGGCCAAGGGCACAUACGAAGCUAGCCAGGAUUACUGGGACUUGGAAUUUCCAUGGUGGGCAAAGACACCAGGCAGUAAUUAGUCAGAGGCAAGCUGGGAAAGAAAUUUCUGGCGCUAGCUUUCCAUGGGGUUUGCAAACAGAAAUUUACGCCUUCUUCAUAGGAAUGUAGGGAGUAUAAUUGGAAGACGAACAAGGAUUAGACUUGCAGAAAAGGUUAAUGUAAAAAUAUCUGGCAUGACAGCAUUCAUGUGGCUUGGUGUGUCACUCUACAAAGCAUGGACACGGCUGAUUCAGCCGAUUUGCCGUCCUAGUAUGGCGGGACACGGUGACACGCCAUGAUACGCAUAUCCCCUCAUUUCCAAAUUUUGAAAGAAAGGACAUAGCUGGGAUACGCUGGGAAUUGAAAGGCCCAAUAACAGCCUCAGCCCGAUACAAACCCUAUUUUGCAGGCUCACACACACGCUCGACACAAAAGGAACAAGCUGCUCCAGGCUCUAGCAAACGCGCCGCCGCCUGGACUCGACCGCCGCCGUUUCCCAAGUGCAGCAGCCACGCGCUCGAGCAGGUAACCCCAAGCGCAGCAGCCUCUCCUCAACCUCUUCAUCUCUUUGUGACUCGCUGUUGAGAUGCUAAUGCUUGCUUCCGCAUGCGGCCAUGCCGUUGCUGCUUGUGUUUUAAAUUAGCUGCAUGAUGUUGUGCUCACUUGAAUGCUGGUGUUGCUGUUUGCUUGCUGUUAGGGAGCAUGGCAUCUGAGAGCCCCACCGCCAGUAGCCAAUCGUCCAUGGGUGAGAGUGAAGGGCAGCCCGGUGUUGUAGAUCCGAAAUAUCCUUUGUUUCUCAUUGAGCACUUGAAAAGGGAGGCAACAAAUGGAAAUGUGGCACUAUUCUGACCUCAUAUUACAUGGCCUAUUUUUUAUUUUUUUAUAUUUAGUCGCGUAUCCCCGAAUGGCUGUUUUUGGAAAAUGACGUAUUCCAUGUCCUGGUAUUCAUGUCACCGUGCCCGCGAUCCGUGCUUUUUAGGUGUCACUCAUUAAAAUCAGAGAAAGUAAAUUUACACCAGUAGACAAGUUUAAAACUUCAUAAUGGAAAAUUAUUAAGUAAAUCUAGCAUGCAUAAUUUUAUUUUUUUUCGCAUAGUUGCCUAAUGCCUAAAAUGACCAGAUCUGCAAUUAAAAUACACUCUUCGACAUCGGCAGUGGACUAAGCAACUCGACAAUUUGGGUCAUAAGCCAAAAACACAACGUUCCAUUUCAAAAUAAAAAUAUAAAAGUACCAAGACCCUGCAAUACGUAUCAAACUAUCAUGCAGCUUAAUACAAGACUGGCAGGAUACCUUGGCCAUCAUUGUACAAGUACAAACCAGACCAAUUCAAAAUCUGAUGGGGAACAAUAUGUAUAGUGAACAGAUGGGAGGUGAUGAAAAAUUAGAUAAUUAAAACGGAUGGGCCAUGAAGCAGUGUGCGACAUAAUGAUGUGAGACAAUGCCACAACCGCAUGAGUUAAUGCGAUAACUAUUGAAAAAUAUCCAAUAGCACCAAAUAUAUCAUGGACCACUCGUGUGACACUUCCCUGUCUCCAAGUCCAUGCCAUUUUACCAAACAAGCACACAGAUGACAAUGAUGGAUGAGUAAACUUUGGGCACAGGGAGGCGAGAACCACCGCUUUUAGAAAAGAAACCUACAAAUCCAACUUCUAUAUGCAGAUUUUUCACACUGAAUUUUUCGGAAGCUAAUAAUAACCAACACUCCCGGCCACUUCCUGCGAGAACACCCGACUUUGGCUAAUGUCAUGCAGGGCUAAUAAGCUUUUCCUAGAAUCUCUACAGCCUGUGUCUGAACUUCUUCAAGGGCUACGGAAAGCCGAACUUACCAAAAUCACAAGCCUAAUUGACAUUACAGGAUUCUCAAGAACAGCAGAAGAAUUUGUAGACAACAGAUACAACAGGUGGCCAUAGACACGUUACACAGAUUAGCCCGACAAUUUAAACCUUAAAUUUCGAUACUACAAGUGGGCAAACAUAAGCAUGCCCAUAACUGCAUGAAGCGCAAGCGCGAUGCAAAAGCUUCAUAUAUUACCACAACAUAGCCACGCCCAGCAACGAUUA